AAGGUAGGAUUGAUGACUGGGGUGAAGUCGUAACAAGGUAGCCGUAUCGGAAGGUGCGGCUGGAUCACCUCCUUUCUAAGGAG
rnacentral:rRNA from 1 species